AAGUCGUAACAAGGUUUCCGUAGGUGAACCUGCGGAAGGAUCAUUCAUAAUAAGUGUUUUAUGGCACUUUUUAAAUCCAUAUCCACCUUGUGUGCAAUGUCAGUCGAUCUUCUUCAUGGAGAUCGACCAAACAUCAACCUUUAUUUUUUAACUCUUUGUCUGAAAAAUAUUAUGAAUAAACAAUUCAAAAUACAACUUUCAACAACGGAUCUCUUGGCUCUC
rnacentral:misc_RNA from 2 species